UGGUUACAGAAUCCAGUCUACACAGUUUUC
rnacentral:piRNA from 1 species